rnacentral:rRNA from 1 species
CACUUAGCGGCGGACGGGUGAGUAAUGCUUAGGAAUCUGCCUAUUAGUGGGGGACAACAUUUCGAAAGGAAUGCUAAUACCGCAUACGUCCUACGGGAGAAAGCAGGGGAUCUUCGGACCUUGCGCUAAUAGAUGAGCCUAAGUCGGAUUAGCUAGUUGGUGGGGUAAAGGCCUACCAAGGCGACGAUCUGUAGCGGGUCUGAGAGGAUGAUCCGCCACACUGGGACUGAGACACGGCCCAGACUCCUACGGGAGGCAGCAGUGGGGAAUAUUGGACAAUGGGCGCAAGCCUGAUCCAGCCAUGCCGCGUGUGUGAAGAAGGCCUUAUGGUUGUAAAGCACUUUAAGCGAGGAGGAGGCUACUGAAGUUAAUACCUUCAGAUAGUGGACGUUACUCGCAGAAUAAGCACCGGCUAACUCUGUGCCAGCAGCCGCGGUAAUACAGAGGGUGCAAGCGUUAAUCGGAUUUACUGGGCGUAAAGCGCGCGUAGGCGGC